UACGUAGGGUGCGAGCGUUAAUCGGAUUUACUGGGCGUAAAGCGAGCGCAGGUGGUUUAUUAAGUCUGGUGUAAAAGGCAGUGGCUCAACCAUUGUGUGCAUUGGAAACUGUUAGACUUGAGUGCAGUAGAGGAGAGUGGAAUUCCAUGUGUAGCGGUGAAAUGCGUAGAUAUAUGGAGGAACACCGGUGGCGAAAGCGGCUCUCUGGACUGUAACUGACACUGAGGCUCGAAAGCGUGGGUAGCAAACAGG
rnacentral:rRNA from 1 species